AGCGAACGCUGCGGCAGGCUUAACACAUGCAAGUCGAACGCCCCGCAAGGGGAGUGGCAGACGGGUGAGUAACACGUGGGAACGUACCCUUUGGUUCGGAAUAACUUGGGGAAACUCAAGCUAAUACCGGAUAAGCCCUUAUGGGGAAAGGUUUACUGCCGAAGGAUCGGCCCGCGUCUGAUUAGCUAGUUGGUGAGGUAACGGCUCACCAAGGCGACGAUCAGUAGCUGGUCUGAGAGGAUGAUCAGCCACACUGGGACUGAGACACGGCCCAGACUCCUACGGGAGGCAGCAGUGGGGAAUAUUGGACAAUGGGGGCAACCCUGAUCCAGCCAUGCCGCGUGAGUGAUGAAGGCCUUAGGGUUGUAAAGCUCUUUUACCCGGGACGAUAAUGGCUGUACCGGGAGAAUAAGCCCCGGCUAACUUCGUGCCAGCCGCCGCCGUAA
rnacentral:rRNA from 1 species